GGGAGGUGGUGGCACUCUGCAAUUUGCCACCCUUCCUCCCCUCGUCCCCAACCCCGGACCGCCAUCGCCGGCGACGGCGAGGACGCACCGGCUUCUCUCUCGCUCGGGCCUUGCAGCUGCAGCUCAGAUUUGCAGGGGAGUUCAGAUGGUUCCCGUCGCGCAGGGGGAGGCGCCCAGCCAAGGGAUCGGAUGAUGGAUCGCUGCAUGCCUCAUUGGUGAGGACCGGGAUGCCUCCCCGAACAAGUCCACUCUGAACAAGUCCACUUGUCCAAUGCGUGCUGAAUUCGGUGAUGAUAUGGUUGCCAUGUCAUGUACGCAGUAACGCAGCCGUGGUGCUUUCCUGGUCAUAAAUCUGCAAGACCGUAAAAGACUGAUUCCUGACCAGGAGUAUGUGUUUUGAGGAUCUUCAGGUAACAGGUAUACAGUAUCUCAGUUAGGAUACGACCCAUUUUGUAGAUUGCAACUAAUUAGCAUACUAGUUUGUUAAUUAUAGUUUUGCAUGCCAGGGAUCUUAAAAAGUUGUUUAAGACAACACCCUCUUCAGGCUCUUCUUUUAAUUUUUGUUCCUAGCUUGAUCUUCACAAUUUAACUAGUUAGCUAGCUUAGGGAAAAAAUGAGCUAGGUAUUUACUAAUGAGAAAAAGAUCGAAAUUGUUUUCAGUUAAUCUUAAUUGCCACCUCAAAAGUUUUUUCCUGAUGUGUUCACUUGGGUGUGAAUACAGAUGCAAAGCAGUAGACCAAAGUAGGUGAUUUGAUUGAACAAGUGAGAAUUUAAUUGGAGGAGAUGCAUCAUGCAUGCCAUGAAACUGAAAUACGGGCAAUCAACGACAACUGAUAAAUGCUACAUCCAUCAUUUGGUGAAUAUGUACCUGAAGCUUGAAAGGCAUGUUUUUGUUACGAACCCAAAAGAAGAUGAAUUGUAUUGCCCAAAAACUAGGCUCCAGGAAUGGUCGCUUCUCAGAAGCUGCCAAAGAAGUGAAAGCACCAUUACUUGGUCUUUAUUCACCAGUAUGCUGUACUGCUGUAUACUGAACAUAUUGCGGAGUCACCAAAAAGAUGUAUGAUUACUAGAAGCUAAUGUCACCAAUCCUUUGGAUGUGAGUCUGACAUGUUAGGAACAGGCUCCUAGUCGAAGCAAAACAGAGACCUCGUUACAUGAACCUGUUCAUGGUUUUCCUAUUAGAAACUGAGCGUCAUAUCAGUGUUUCAACAUUGGUCUAUUUAUAAGACUAAUAACUACUAUUUGGUGACCCUUCCUUUUCAGAACCACUGUUUAGAACAGUCAAGACCAAUCUUUAAUCCAGAUAUCAGUAUCCAAUUGUCUGUUCUAUAUUGCUAGUGUAACUGAUACUAUGUUGAUUUUACAGAUGGCUUAUAUAAUACCAUUGCCUGGUUCCCCUACGUUUCAUUCAGUUACUGGAGUGAAAUGAAAACGACUGUCUUACACACCGCGUCGCCGCGAAUAAUUGGGUAUGGAGAACCUGUCUCCCUGAAAACAAUUCAGAGACUGUAACUGUAUGGUUCAAAGUUCAGACCAGGGGCAUGGACUGGAGGGGCAAGGCAAGGACGGACACGGACGCCCGCACGGCCGGCCCGGGUGUCCGGCCGGCAGCUACAGUGCGCCACUCGCCGUGUGCACGUGCGCAUGAACUUGUCCCCCCGGUGUUCCAUCACGCAUUCAUGCGCGCUGUGGCUGUUGCUGAUUUUGACUCGGUGCUCGUGGAGUCGGGACACACGGGGGGUGGCCCGAGCUGGUGUGCGGCCGGGCGGACACGGCACAUGCCCGCGCAGUUGCCGCCGCCACUGUUCAUCAGGGAGACGCACUGCAACUCCUCAGAGGCUGUGCUCCGGAGUCUCUCCCCCAACCGCUGCCGCUACAGUGAUGCAGAUGCAGCACGCGCUCAAACUUUUGCUGGGAGCGCUGCUGGAUCAUCCUGAUAUUAUUCGCCGUGCCUGGUGUUCCGGUUCGCGGAUGCAGACGUGCAGAGCAGAGGUGGUCAAUUUCUGGUGCAGGGUGAAGAGGGAGGUUCUUGAGACUGGUUGCUUGCGCCAGCACUGAUGAUUUGGUCAAAGUGUCUUGCAACAGGGGAUUUUUGGGCAUAAACACAGUGCGUGGAGAUCCCAGUGACACGUAGGCUUGGUCAAAACACUGGAGAUCAGAUCAGAGGACAAGCUGCGUGCAUGGGCUUGUGCUGCAGCUACAUGUCUGACGAUAUCUCUGACAGGGCAUUCAGACAUCGUCCUGUACCAUACCUGAAGAAGCUUAUGAUUGGUUCACUUGGCCUCAUAAACAAAUGAAGGCUCCUCUACUAGUCAUAUAAGCAUGGAAUUCAUCCAUCCAUGCAGGCACAAGUGCAUGGCAGCAUAUGUACUAUGCACUCAAGAAGCAAGCAAACAUGGAACAAGCGAGGGAGUGACAGCAUGAUGGCAGUUGAGGUACGCAAUGCAAGUGCUUUUUCUCCGGAGCUGCAAGAGCAAGCAGGGGGAGGCAUGCAAUUAGGGCAUAUUCUACUGCAAGCACUUACGGCUAAACAUCACAUGAUCACCACCAUUUGGAAAGAAAAGAAAGGAUGCGGGGGUGGGGCCCGCCCCUAAUGACCCUUUUCUAGCCCAGCACAGCAGGUGUUUGUGUCUCAUCUAGUAGUGGGUACUAGGAGGGGGCUUAGGAUACUGCCUAGUGAUCUUGAGACAUGUGCUGCUGCUAAUGCUUCAUUAAAGGGUGAAUGGAUCGCAGGACGCUGCUGCCGCUGCCGCUGCGAACACACCCGCGCGCCAUUAUUUCUAAUCUCUUUUGUUUUGUUUGCUUUUGUUGUGGUAGAUUAGUAGGGGGGCGGAUGAUGAUGCACUACUGCGAGUCUGCAACCUACGGCCACCAAAUAUUUUAUACGUUUUUAAUUUGGCACUAGCAUAUCUUUCAGCGAUCACAAGAAGCUACGGUGCCUACCCUGCUCAUCAUCUGCUGGCCCAUUGGAGGCAACCUUGCUACAA